AUGAUACUCUCCCUAUACCUGAAUGGAAAGGCUUCAUUUCACAAUCCACUGAAUAAAGCUAAUCUGUUGAACUACAUGGGGGAAGCACGGGCAGCUCAGAACAAGUCACUUCCUGCAGGAUGCACACUUAUUCUUGGAGGAAUCUUUUGUGAUCCUGGUCGCACUGUCCUCUUGUCAGCAGAUUGUCAGGUUGAGCUUCCAGAACUUUCCUGUGAGAAACAUAAGGGGGCAGAUACCAGGAUGUUUGCUCACAUUGUAUACUCGGUACAAAUUCUACACCACAAACGGGCUGUAGUGGUAGCAACUGACACAGAUGUGAUCAUGAUGUGCAUGUACUACAUCACACACAUGGGUGGGCUGCAGGAGCUGUGGGUGAAGACGAUGGAUAUCUUUCUACCUGUUCAUGCCAUCACAGAAGUUCUGGCGGCAAAGCAAGAUGUUGCAGCAUCAGAUCUUACAUCCCUUCUCCUCAGCACCUACAUACUUACCGGAUGUGACACAGUGAGCUAUCUGUACAGAAGAGGAAAAAGGCGGGCCUACACAACUGCUAUUAGACACCUGACAGACGUUUUGCGGCUGUGCAGGUACGGUGACCCUGAGGAAAGCCUGGAUGUUCAGGAAAAGGUUAUAACAGCAGCACGGCGAUACAUGGUGUCACUCUAUGACAGGAGUGACUUUGGAUGUACUCUAGAUGCACUGCGAGCCCAUCUCUUUGUGAGCAUCAAAGGAGACGUUCGUUGCCUUCCACCAACUGAAGAUGCCUUCCUAUUACACCUUCGCCGAGCCCUGCAUCAGUUGGCUGUGUGUAAGCGGGCACACAUGGUUCAGCCAACCUACCCAGCUGCCACUGAUUUUGGGAGACAACUUGUCAAUGGCAAAUUGGUGGCAACCAUGAUGCUGAAAGAGGCAAAACCUUCUGAACUCAAACACAGCCAAUACUGCUGCUGCAAGAAAAUCAUGUGUGCUCGAGGAUGCUCCUGUGCAAGAGCCAAUGUGAAGUGUGGCAUUGCAUGUCUCUGCACCGGGGACCCCAACAGAUGUUCAAGGAUUGAACUUGUGCUUGAAGACAGGGACAUGUAA
ensembl:lncRNA